CCCACCCCAAGAUUCUACCCUGGAAAAUGCGUGCUUAGUUGAAAUUAUUACGAAGUUCAGCUAGAAGUUUCCUUCAGUCAGAAAUUGUUUCCCUGGGCUUCCUUGGAACUGGGAGUGCCUCAAGGCUCUUCUUGCUGCUGCUUCUUCUUUUAUAUUUUGCUUGGCUCUCUAAAUUUGUUUCAGCUCUAGGUAAGGUUAAAUCCUUCUCCCAUGAUCUGGAUUUUCAGGCUCCCCUGCGAAGAUGUGUGUUUGGGGCAGACUUUCCCCCUCUCACACUUUGGACACUCAACGAUUUUGUGGCUGUCUCUAGGAGUUUGCAGUGGUUUUGGAAUCAGGAUAAUGCUGACCUCAUAGAAUGAGUUGGGAAGGGAUCCCUCCUCCUUAAUUUUUUUGGAAUAGUAUCAGUAGAAAUGGUACCAGCUCUUCUGUGUAAACCUGGUUUGGGGACUGGAACAGAUCCACUACUGGCCUCCUUGCUCCUCAACUUGUAGACAGCCUGCCUAUCGUGGGACUUCACCUUGUGAUCCUGAGACCUCCAGCCUUUUAUCGGGGAAACUGUGAAUUGGGGAAAGGGAAAUCAUCAGACCUUUCAAGGAUUACUGGACACUGGCUCUGAGCUGACAUUAAUUCCUGGGGACCCAAAAGAUGUCACACUGGUUUAUUACACUGAUGACAUUAUGCUGAUUGGACCCAGUGAGCAAGAAGUAGCAAACACACUGGACUUACUGGUAAGAUGUUUGUGUACCAUGGUAUGGAAAAUAAAUCUGACUAAAAUUCAGGGAACUUUUACUUCAGUGAAAUUUCUAGGGGUUCAGUGGUGUCAGGACUGUCGAGAUAUUCCUUCUAAGGUGAAGGAUAAGUCGCUGCAUUUGGACUCUCCUACAACCAAGAAAGAGGCACAAUGCCUAGUGGGCCUCUUUGGAUUCUGGAGGCAACACAUUCCUCAUUUGAGUGUGUUAUUCCAGUCCAUUUAUUGAGUGACCUCAAAGGCGGCCAAAUUUGAGUGGGGUCCAGAACAGGAGAAGGCUCUGCAAAAGGUCCAGGCUCCUGUGCAAGCUGCUCUGCCACUUGGGCCAUAGGACCCAGCAGAUCCAAUGAUACUUGAAGUGUCAGUGGCAGAUAAGGAUGUUGUUUGGAGCCUUUUUCAGGCCCAAAUAGUUGAAUCACAGCAGUGGCCUCUAGGAUUUUGGAGCAAGGCCCUGCCAUCUUCUUCAGAUAAGUACUCUCCUUUUGAGAGACAGCUCUUGGCUUGUUAGUAAGCUUUGGUAGAAACAGAAUGUUUGACGAUGGGUCAUCAAGUCACCAUGCAACCUGACCUGCCUAUCAUGAACUGAGUGCUUUCUGACCUAUCUAGCCAUAAAGUGGGGUAUGGACAGCGGCAUUUCAUCAUCAAAUGGAAGUUGUAUAUAAGUAACUGGGCUCAAGCAGGUCCAAAGGCACAAAGAAGUUACAUGAGGAAGUGGCUCAAAUGCCCAUGGUCUCCACUCCUGCCACCAUGCCUUCUCUCCCCCAGCCUGCACUGACAGCCUCAUGGGGAGUUCCCCAUGAUCAGUUAACAGAGGAAGAGAAGACUAGGGCCUGGUUUACAGAUUGUUCUGCAUGAUAUGCAGGCAUCAGCCAAAAGUGGACAGCUGCCCCACUACAACCCCUUUCCAGAAUAUCUCUGAAGGAUGGUGGUGAAAAGAAAUCUUCCCAGUGGGCAGAACUUUGAGCAGUGCGCCUUGUUGUGCACUUUGGAUGGAAGAAGAAAUGGCCAAGUGUAUGAUUAUGUACUGAUUCAUGGGCUGUAGCCAAUGGUUUGACUGGAUGGUCAAGGACUUGGAAGAAGCAUGAUUGGAAAAUCGGUGACUGUAUUAGUCAGUUCCCACACUGUUAAUAAAGACAUACCUGAGAUGGAUAAUUUAUAAAGGAAAGAGGUUUAAUUGACACACAGUUCAGCAUGGUUGGGGAGGCCUCAGAAAUUUGAUGAAAUCAAUCAAUUAUGGUGAAAGGGGAAGUAAACACAUCCUUCUUCACAUGACAAAAGCAAGGAGAAGAAUGAGAGGUGAGUAAAGAAGGAAGCCCCUUCUAAAACCAUCAGAUCUCGUGAGAAUGUACUCACUAUCACAAGAAUAGGAAUAGCAUUGGGAAACUGCCCCAUUAUUCAAUUACCUCCCACGGGGUCCCUCCCAUAGCACAUGGGGAUUACGGGAGCUACAAUUCAAGAUGAGAUUUGGUUGGGGAUACAGCUAAACUAUAUCAGUGGCAAAGAAAUUGGAGAAGAGGUAUGUGGAUGGACAUCUCUGAGUGGUCAAAAAUUGAAUAUAUUUGAUAUGGUUUGGUUGUGUUCCCACCCAAAUCUCGAAUUGUAGCUCCCAUAAUUCCCACGUGUCAUGGGAGAAACCCAGUGAGAGGUAAUUGACUCAUGGGGGCAGGCCUUUACUCUGAGAUUCUUAUGAUAGUGAAUAAGUUUCAUGAGAUCCAAUGGUUUUAUAAAAGGGGGUUCACCUGCAAAUGUUAUCUUGCCUGCCACCAUGUAAGAUGUGAUGUUGCUCCUCAUUUGUCUUCCACCAUGAUUUGAGGCCUCCCAAAACACAUGGAACUGUGAGUCAAUUAAACCUCUUCUCUUUAUACAUUACCCAGUCUCAGGUGUCUUUAUUAGCAGCUGGAGAACAGAUUAAUACAGUAAAUUGGUAAGAGGAGUGGGGUGCUGUUGUAAAGAUUCCCCAAAAUGUGAAAGUGACUUUACAACUGGGUAACAGGCAGAGAUUGAAACAGUUUGGAGGGCUCAGAAGAAGACAGAAAGACAUGGAAAAGUUUGGAAUUUCCUAGAGACUCAUUGAAUGGCUUUGACCAAAAUGCUGUCAGUGAUAUGAAUAAUGAAAUCCAG
rnacentral:lncRNA from 10 species